GAGGCAAGCCAGGACAUCUAAUAGGCCUAUUAGCCUUCCAGGACAAUAGCUUAUGAACAUAGAGCUAUACUAGCAAAACGAGGAAAGAAAGGGCAGUACUAAGAUUGCCUACAAAACGAGUUGAUAGUAAAAGUACAAAAGUAGUCACAAAGUUUUGUUUUUUAGACAAUGGACUUUGUGGUGUAGUCGAAUCAGUAGCUAGUACUUACAGUAGUGAUAUGAUAUGGCAUAGAAGACUUACUGUAGGUUUUAAUUAGUUUGCUUUGUUCAAGUUGUCUGUGCAUGCUGUGUAUUUGUCCUGUUCCAUCUGUGCUAAACGCUGAGAUGAGACUGUCUGAAGUUCAGGUCUUUCCACUCACCUUGGACUUUAGCCACGUGGAUAUAGCUUGCAGUUUCAGAGGCUGCCGACAGAGCAAUUCAUCAGGGAUCAUCUCCUACCUCACCUCCAUGAGCAAAGACUGCUGUUCCCUUAAAUUCUCUGCUCAGCCUGAUUUGUAAGUGGGGUAAAGCUGUGUUGUAGCUUAGCCUUCUCCAUUUCCUGACUUUCCUCAAUUGCUUGAUCAUAAGCAGCCUAUGGAGAUUUCCCAAACAAAUUAGAACCUGUAAAUAAACCUUGAACCAUUAUAUAUCUAGUUUGGGGGUGUGGCUUUUGGGGAAAUAAAAAUGACUGUAAUUCC